rnacentral:lncRNA from 1 species
AAAUGUCACCGAUUCCAAAUCUCUUUGCCGACAACAGAAUCAAUCUCACUCCUUACGCAAUUCUCAUCCUCACCGCUAUCUUCUCGGUUUUCUGGUGGUACCUUUUCAAACGCCAACCGCAACCGCCUCUGCCGCCUGGACCGCGAGGGCUACCAAUCGUCGGAAACCUCCCGUUUCUUGACCCUGACCUUCACAACUAUUUCACAAACAUCGCUCAGAAAUACGGUCCAAUCUUCAAACUCAAUCUCGGCUCAAAGCUAACCGUCGUGGUCAACUCUCCAUCGCUGGCUCGAGAGAUCUUGAAAGACCAAGACAUCAACUUCUCAAACCGAGAUGUCCCUCUCACGGGCCGAGCCGCUACUUAUGGUGGUAUUGACAUCGUCUGGUUACCAUAUGGUGCCGAAUGGAGAAUGCUUAGAAAAGUUUGCGUUCUCAAGCUUCUUAGCCGCAAAACUUUGGAUUCUUUCUACGAGCUUCGACGCAAAGAAAUCAGGGAAAGAACGAGGUAUUUGUACCAGCAAGGUCAGCUAGAAUCACCGGUGAAUGUCGGAGAUCAGUUGUUCUUGACGAUGAUGAAUCUAACGAUGAAUAUGUUAUGGGGAGGUUCGGUGAAAGCAGAGGAGAUGGAGAGUGUUGGAACAGAGUUUAAAGGAGUGAUUUCUGAGAUAACUAGGCUUUUGGGUGAGCCUAAUGUUUCGGAUUUUUUCCCGUGGAUAGCAAGAUUCGAUCUUCAAGGGCUUGUGAAGAAGAUGCGUGUGUGUGCUCAUGAGCUCGAUGCUAUAUUCGAUCGAGCCAUUGAGCACAUGCAAAGGCUAAAAAGUAGGGAUGAUGAUGGUGAAUGCAAAGACUUUUUGCAACAUAUGAUGAAGUUAAAGGACCAAGAAGUUGACUCAGAGGUUCCCAUUACGGUUAACCAUGUCAAAGCCGUACUCAUGGUAAUUAAUUUGGUUUUCAGUUUCAUAAUCUUAGAAUAUAAAACUUGCAUUUGGGAGGAUACCAAACUUCUGGAAAGUGAAAAAAAUAAGCAGAAUGGAAUUAACAAAAAGUUAAUAUAGUUACGAAAAUGCUGAAUUAUGGUUUCUAGAUUAAACUUCUCAUUAGUAUUACCAGUAACAUUUGAAACUUCAGAACUUAGAUGUCUGUAGUAGUCAGUAGAAUACAUUGGGCAUGACUGGUAUUGAGGAUAGCUGAAUAAUAGAAUAGUCGAAUCGAAAAAAACCUUAAAUAAAUCUUAAAAUGUCAAAGAUGAAUAAAGUUUUGUAUAAACUAGUUAUAAAUUUAGAACAUGUGUGAUGGAUAGAAAAAUAACGUUUUAAUUUUUACUUUUAUCAUUCAGUGGAAUCAUGUUUUUGAAACUUGAAAAAGAUACAUCAUUGAAACAAUUGGUUACUCUAACUUUUGAUCUGAUAUCUUUAGAAUCCGCCAUUUCUGCGUAUUACCAACCAGAGUUAUAGCUAUUUCAAAUUUUAGAUGACAGCUGCAUGCUAGGUAGAUUAGAUGAUUAUUGGUUCAUGAUACUGAUUUGAUCAAAAUGUUUGUUAUGUAUUUGUGAAGGAUAUGGUGGUCGGUGGUACAGAUACAUCAACGAAUACGAUAGAGUUUGCGAUGGCCGAGCUUAUAAGCAAACCGGAGUUGAUAAAGAGAGCACAGCAAGAGCUAGACGAAGUUGUCGGAAAAGACAAUAUUGUUGAAGAAUCACACAUCACUAGACUUCCUUACAUAUUAGCCAUUAUGAAAGAAACACUUAGGCUUUAUCCAACCAUUCCUUUGUUAGUCCCUCACCGUCCGGCUGAAACCGCGGUAGUGGGCGGCUACACCAUUCCUAAAGACACUAAGAUCUUUAUCAAUGUUUGGUCUAUUCACAGAGAUCCAAAUGUGUGGGAGAAUCCAACUGAGUUUCGUCCUGAGAGGUUUCUUGAUAAUAAAUCUUGUGAUUUCACCGGAACCGAUUAUAGCUUUCUUCCUUUCGGAUCUGGCCGGCGAAUUUGCGCAGGUGUAGCACUCGCCGAGAGGAUGGUCUUGUACACUCUAGCUACGCUAUUGCAUUCGUUUGAUUGGAAGAUUCCAGAAGGACAUGUGUUGGAUUUGGAAGACAAGUUUGGGAUUGUCUUGAAGCUCAAGACCCCUCUUGUUGCCUUGCCCGUUCCGAGAUUGUCCGAUUCAAAUCUUUACCUAUAGAAGCUAAGAUUGUAAUCUUUAGAAAUUCUUGUAUCAUACAAAAACAACAAAUUACUACCGGGUUUUUCGAGGUAAAGUACAAUGUAUUUAUAACGUUUUUUAAGCGUCAUAUGUGAUUCUAUUAUACAAAACCAAAUAAUUAUUACGGUAAAGUAUGAUGUUAUUUACGAAGUUUUAAUAUAAGUUUUAUAAUGUAAAUCAAACGUCAGAUUCGGUAAAAAAAUAACAAAAGUAUUGAAUUUGGACCAUUUGUUUUAUCUAAAUGUUUGGAUAUUAGUUUCGUGCCAGUCCAAUAUUCUCUAAUCUGAACUGCAUAACUCACAUCACAGUUCUCUCUGUUAAUUACUAAAAAUAGAAGAAACAAAACAACUUACUAAACUUAAUUACGAUGAUGGUUGAUAAACGCAAAUUGUGAGUUUCUUACUAAACUUAAUUACGAUGGGUGAUAAACGCAAAUCAGAAAACUUUGAGUUAUAAGCGCAUCUUUAUUGGUGAAAAUCUUUUAAAGUAUCUCAAACAUAAAAAAUACUAGUAUUUAAAUAGAACUUGAUUAUUUUUCAAAAUUUUAAUCUAAAUUAAAAAUUAAACUAAUAUAAAAAGAAUACAUUUGUUUUGAGGUUCUCAUGGGUUCUCAUAAGUUAUCAUUUGAAAAUCUCUUCUCAUUCUCUAUACUCUCGUGAGAAUCUCUCAAUGAAGAUGCUUUUAGAACCUCAAAAACAUCUCUAAAACUAAUUCAAGGACCUCAAAAACAUCUUUAAAAGCUAAUCUAAUUUUCGCUUUAGAUAUAAGUUUAGAGAAAAACCUUCUCAAAUAUUAAUCUAUUCAUACUCUAAGAAAAGCAUACUGGAUCAAUGAUAUGGAUAUAUAGAAAAAAUUUAUGGAAUUUAAAGAUCUAAAAUUAUUUAGACAAAUUUUACAGAAAAAAUGUUAUGAAUGAAUAAUAAUCUAUUGUAAGAAAAAGAAUAGAAUAAUUCUAAAUUGAGUAUAAAGAACUAUUAUUCUGGAAUUAUUAUAUUUUGUUAAACCAUUCGUAAUUUUAACAUAUUUUAAAUUUUCACUAACAUAUUUUAUUUAUAAAAGAAAUAGUAAGUUAAAAAAAAAUUAGUAUGUAUGAAAAGCUUAAAAUAUCUAUCAAAUUUUUUAUUGAGAGAGUAAAAACAGUGGAAAGUACCAUUCUAAACACAGUAAGAGUAUAAGAGCAUGUUUAUCAGGAGUUCAUCAAGAAUUCAUGGCAUAGGUUUUAAGAUGAAAUUCAAUAAAAUAAUAAUUUUAAAUGUAGAGGUUUAUGGUCAAAGUUCUUCUCGACGAAGCUGAAGAAUCCAAAUUCAUCCAGAUUCAUCACACGUAAAGCAUUCUGAUUAGUUCCAAAAAAUAAUUUUCGAAUUUAAAAAAAAUAAAAAAAACAAAAUAAAAAAAGUAUUAUUAUAUUAAGACGAACCCAUUUCUCAGAAGUCAUUGAUGGACAUGGUCUAACAUCCGCUCAAAAAGAUAUCAUCUAGACCCUGAAGUCUUCAUUCAUGAUUGGCUUUCCCCGUUAUUAAUAUAUUACUGUAUACUAUUGGUAAAGUUAAGGUGAAAUAACUAACAUAAAGAACAAUUUCCUUUGUUUUAAUCUCAUAAUUCUCAAAAAUGUCACCGAUUUCACAUCUCUUCACCGACAACACAAUUAAGCUCCUUCCUUAUGCAAUUCUCAUUCUCACAGCAAUCUUUUCAAUUUUCUGGUACCUCUUUAAACGCGGACCGCAACCGCCUCUGCCGCCUGGACCGCGAGGGCUACCUAUUGUCGGAAACCUCCUGUUUCUUGACCCUGACCUUCACACUUACUUUACAAAACUCGCUCAAGAACACGGUCCAAUCUUCAAACUUAAUCUCGGCUCAAAACUAACCGUCGUGGUCAACUCUCCAUCGCUGGCUCGAGAGAUCUUGAAAGAACAAGACAUCAACUUCUCAAACCGAGACGUCCCUCUCACAGUUCAAGCCGCUACUUAUGGUGGUAUCGACAUCGUUUGGUUACCAUACGGUGCCGAAUGGAAAAAGCUUAGAAAAGUUUGUGUUCUCAAGCUUCUUAACCGCAAAACUUUGGAUUCUUUCUACGAGCUUCGGCGCAAGGAAGUCAGGGAAAGAACGAGGUAUUUGUACCAGCAAGGUCAACAAGAAUCACCGGUGAACGUCGGAGAUCAGUUGUUUUUAACGAUGAUGAAUCUAACGAUGAAUAUGUUAUGGGGAGGUUCGGUUAAAGCAGAGGAGAUGGAGAGUGUUGGAACAGAGUUUAAAGGAGUGAUUUCCGAGAUGACUAGGCUUGCGGGUGAGCCUAAUGUUUCGGAUUUCUUUCCGUGGGUAGCAAGAUUCGAUCUUCAAGGGCUUGUGAAGAAGAUGCGUGUGUAUGUUCACGAGCUCGAUGCUAUAUUCGAUCGAGCCAUCGAGCACAUGCAAAGGGUACAAAGUAGGGGUGAUGGUGAAUGCAAAGACUUUUUGCAACAUUUGAUGAAGUUAAAGGACCAAGAAGUUGACUCAGAGGUUCCCAUCACGGUUAACCAUGUCAAAGCCGUACUCGUGGUAAUUAAUUUGGUUUGAGUUUCAUAAUCUUAGAAUAUAAAACAUGCAUUUGGGAGGAUACCAAACUUUUGGAAAGUGAACGUAUAUUCUAUUUUUAGAAAUUUAGAUAGUUCUUCUUAUAUUGGAGCUAAUAAACCCAUGAUAAAAUCAUUAAUCAACAAAAAGUCGAUAUAGUUACGAAAAUGUAGAAUUAUGGUUUCUGAACUAAAUCUGUCAUUUGUAUUGCUAUAUUUUGCAGUCAUGAUAAGUCAUAAACUUUCAUUUGGUAAAAUAUGUUGGAAAUUCAUUAUUGUUCAGCCAUUCCACUAUUCCGCAGAUUGGGUUCCCAAUCAAAAAAUUUCCCACUUCAAAAUUUAGAUGUCAAUUGUAGAGUACAUUGAUUAGUCUGAGUUUCAAUAUGAUAUUUUUAUAAUCUGCCAUUUCUGCAGAUUACCAAUUAGAGUCUUAGCUACUUCAUAAUUUAGAUGGCAGAUGCAUGCUAUGUAGAUUAGUCUGAGUUCAUGAUAGUGAUUUGAUCAAAAUGUUUGUUAUGUUUAUGUAAAGGAUAUGGUGUUUGGUGGUACGGAUACAUCUACGAACACAAUGGAGUUUGCGAUGGCGGAGCUUAUAAACAAACCGGAGUUGAUGAAGAGAGCGCAACAGGAACUAGACGAAAUUGUUGGCAAAGACAAAAUUGUUGAAGAAUCACACAUCACUAGACUUCCUUACAUAUUAGCCAUAAUGAAAGAAACGCUUAGGCUUUACCCAACCAUUCCUUUGUUAGCCCCUCACCGUCCAGCUGAAACCGCGGUUGUGGGUGGUUACACCGUCCCUAAAGAUACCAAGAUAUUCAUCAAUGUUUGGUCUAUUCAGAGAGACCCAAAUGUGUGGGAGAAUCCAACUGAGUUUCGUCCUGAGAGGUUUCUUGAUAAUAAAUCUUGUGAUUUCACCGGAACCGAUUAUAGCUUUCUUCCUUUUGGAUCUGGCCGGCGAAUUUGCGCAGGUGUAGCACUCGCCGAGAGGAUGGUCUUGUACACUUUAGCGACGCUAUUGCAUUCGUUUGAUUGGAAGAUUCCAGAAGGACAUGUGUUGGAUUUGGAAGAAAAGUUUGGGAUUGUCUUGAAGCUCAAGACCCCUCUUGUUGCCUUGCCCGUUCCGAGGUUGUCCGAUUCAAAUCUUUACCUAUAGAAGCUAAGAUUGUAAUCUUUAGUAGCAUACAAAAACCAAAAAAUUAUUACCGGAUUUCUAGUAUAAUGUACAAUGUAUUUAUAAUGUGUUUCAAACAUCAUAUGUGAUACUCUUAUACAAAACCAAAUAAUUACUACGGUGAUGUAGGAUGUUAUUAAUGAAGUUUUAAUAAGUUCUAUAAUAUAUAUCAGACGUCGGUAAAAAUAGCAAAAUUUGGGCCUUCUUUUUUACCUAAAUGUUUGGCUAAUAGUUUCGUGUCAGUCCAAUAUUCUUUAAUCUGAAUUGCAUAACUCACAUGGUCUGAUCUUGUUCUAUAGCUUCAUAUAUUAUUAAUUAGAUGUUUGGUCUGCACCUUAUGUGGACAUAAGUACAAUGUUAUAAACUAAAAACUGAAAAGAAUUAAAUAACUAUUUAAGACAUACAUAAUAAAAUAAAUCAAAUUCAAAAAGUAAAUAUCAUCCAAAAUUAAAGACAAAAAUGUUUACUAACUAAGGAUAUUGAACUCACAAACCAAUUGAAUUAUAAAAAAAACGAGUUAUUCAUCUUCACAUAGUUGUUUUUCAUUUUCUUCUUUUUACUUCUUAUUUAUGUUUUACUUUUUCUUGUUUAUCGUUUUUUCCUUAUAUUUCUUCAUUGUCUUCCAUCUUUAUCUCUCAUUCUUCUCCCAUGUUUUCAUCUUAGUUUUUUGUCAUUUUCUUUUAGUUCCUUUUUCUCCUAUUCAUUCUAUAUGUCUUUUCUUACUUCUUAUUCUUUAAGUUUUUUUGUCACAUCUUCUUCUUUUCGCUAUUUUCCACAUCUUUUCCUCAUCUUCUUCCUAUUCUACUUCUUUUUCUUCUUCUUCUUCUUCUUCUUCUUCUUCUUCAUCGCCUUCGUCUUCUUUAUUCUCUCCGACUUCAUCAUAUUCUUAUUUCCUUUCGUCUUUUAUAUCAAUCAAAUAUAUGUACUUGAAAAUUUUAACUCUCUUUCUCCUCCUCCUCUACGUGUCCCUCUCUAUCAUUCUCUCUCUCUCUCUUUCAAUAUUUCUCUCUCUCAUUCUCUCCCUUUUCCCUCGUCCGAAAUUGUAUAUAUUACACAAUUUAGAUAAUUACAUUUAAAGUAAGAAUUGUUUCAAAUAUAAAAAAAUUGAAAUAUAGAAAAUACGAACUAACAUAGAUUUAAUAUCACGUACCUAUAAUGUUUAACUUUCUCCACCGUUUCUCUUUCUCCCUCUCUUCCCUAUCUCUCUCUUUCUCUCUCUCUCUCUCUCUCUCUCCCUCUCUCUCUUUAUUUCUCUCCCUCAAACAUACUCUCUCUCCAUCUACAUGUUCCUGUGAUCUGUUAAAAGUUUAAUCCCUAAAGCUAUUCUGCAAGAGCAUAGAUGUGCAGUUGUAGUAUUGAAGGGGUCGAACCACAGAGACGAGAGAUUCGCACAAUAAACUAUCUAGGCUUGAACUACGCUAAGCAAACACAAUGAAAUUAAAAGCAACAAUGAAAGCAAAACGGUUGUAAACUCUAUGGAAAAGAUUUAGGCUCAGGGUGUUUCUCAGGAAAUCAGAGAAUGCAGAUUAAUCGAUAAAUCAGGGUUCAGGGUUAAGCACGGUUCUUGAACUCAAAUCAUGAAAUUAUAACUAACCAACUUCCGUUGCGAGAAUGAUCUAAGUAUAAAUCUCAGAAUUCUAAAUUCUUUUGCCAAUCCUAAAGACAUAAACCAGCUUUAAUGCUCAAGUUCGAUAUGUUCACAAAGUAUCUAAACCAAAUUCUUUUGCGAAUAGCUACUUUGCUCACCCUAGGUUCUUUCCAGUUAUUCAAUUACACUUUCGUGUCAAUCAAUUAACCUAAGCUCUAAGUUCUAGGUGGUCAGUCCAGAAUUAGCUUUAAGAACAACCUAUGGUGAAAAACUAAAUAGAUUAUGAACCCUAACUAAUCAACCAAUCCAAGAUCCAAAGAAACCCUUUAUGAGAACCCUAAACCUAACAGGCAAACUACUCAGACAUGGAGAUUGAAGCAAUAAACAUGAAUGAAUAGAAUGCAGAAAGCAGUAAAUAGAUUAAUAAACAGGGGUUCGAAAUCUUCUCUCUCCGGAACAGAGUUUCAGACUUGUCUCCCCAAAAGCUCUCAAAAACAAAAGUUCUCUCUAAAAAAAUCUAAGGUCUCGAUAUAAGGUGGCUAAAAACCCUAUUAAAUACUAAAAAUCACGUGUUGGGCUUCUUUGUAAUUAUUGGAGACUUUUGGGCCCAACUCCUUCUUCAAACAGGAAACAAAAUCACGUUUUCCUUAUUUCUGCAACAAGUGUCGAGCGUCACUCUCCAAGGUGUCGAGCGACACCAUUGCACAUGAUUUUUUUUUUCGCGAAUUUGAUUCUGGUUUAGCUCCAAAGUGCUCCAAAGUCUCAAGUUAAGCUCCAAACGUACCUAUGACCUGUAAAAACUCCAAAAGACUCGAAAAACACUAGAAAUACUCUAUAAAUAAGACCUAUACCAUGGUUUAAAACCAUAAAAACCAUGAUAUAUCAACUCCCCCAGACUUAGCAUUUGCUUGCCCUCAAGCAAACAGAACACCAAAUAAGAGAAAGAGGUUUGAAAACACAGAGACUCAACCUUUCACUGGAACAUCGCUUUUGACCGAUCACCCUGCAACUCAACUAGUGCUUCAUCAUUCCAAAUCGAACCACCAUGUACUUCUCCGCAGAUAUUCACAGCCUCCCAGAUUAAAUCCAAAAUUCCACAACAUUGUCCAUAAACCCUCAUCGCUGGAUCUCACUGAUGAUUCCAGUGCCAAGAACCUUCUAAACUAUUUCUCGUACUAUACUCAAACAAAUCAGCCAUACACACUUUGGUACUUUUCUCUCCCCCAGACUUAUUCUUUUCGCACACUCAUCAUCUCUUUCUUUUUUAUGGCGUAUACACGAUAAGGUUAAAGCUGCGAGUACUGAUGGUGUUUUCCAUUGAGUCCCCGAGUUGUCCCCUUACCUUGUAUCAAAGGUUUUCGGCGAAUAGUGGGGUCAUAGGAAACUUUCCUACCCCUCGCUUCCUUCCUUUGUGUGAUCAUUCCAACUUAGAAGUGAAAUAAUGGGAUCCUUGGAAAUUUUCCUAGCCCUUCACUCCUAAGUGAAAAUCAUCUCAAUCUUUUUGCCUUUUUCUUUCUUGUUUCAACUCUUUUUUUAGCUCGUCACAGGGAGAGAAACACCAACAUUAGAUUUCACAUAGGCUUUCAUUUGUCAAGUAUGAAUGAGGAAUCAAGCUCUAUGAACAUUAGUCACAUCAAUGAGGUAAAAGAAAGAGUUCAGAAAUUAGCUCAGGUUAGUGGAUUCUGUUGGAAACAUGGACGCCUUUAGUCAACUGGUCAGUCUUUGGAUUUUUCAUUAGUCGGAUCUAGACUGAAUCUGCAGCAAUAGUCACUUAGAUGAAAGGUCAUCACAAUAAUUCCAGGAAAAACCUCAUAAUCUCCAACAAGUUUUGACUCAAAAACGUUUUGACACGACUGACUCUUAAGAAAAACAAACACAAUGUCAGCAACUACCUCCCCCAGACUUAAACAACACUGUCCCCAGUGUUAUCUAGUCCGAAGUUGGUGAAACAAAAGAAAUGAAACAGAGAAACGCAGGAAAAACAGAGAACUUACCUGGCUGCAAUGAUGGUGUCAAGCGACACUGAUGAUGGUGUCGUGCGACACUUGUUCUUCUCGUACCAAAUUGCAACAGACCACUCCGAAUUUCUGGUUCGACUCCGGUUUCCUGAUUUCCUAUUAUUUGUUUUUUUUUUACUGGUGUCGACCGACACUGAUGGUGGUGUCGCUCGACACUAACCACUUCGUAUCUGUUACACCUAAAACACAAAAACGAAAAAUGAAAAUCAAAAGAAACAAAAAGACUUAUGUACAGAUUUACCAGUGGGUUGCCUUCCACCAAACGCUUUUUUUUAAGUCACUAGCUUGACUAUGGAUAGAUUAUGCAUCUGGUGGAUCAGACAGUGGCAAAGAGUGCCUCUGUGAAAGUCGUCUCAUCCAUGGUGGUUUGUAAGCGUUGAGCGCAUGAGGUCGUCCAAGGAAUGCAGGAAUAGCACCAGGGUGAGAUCUGUGUUUGGGUGACCUUGACCUAUUCUUUGGUGGAGAUGAAUGGAACAUGAUGUUGUGAGCUUUUUGUGCAAUAGCAGUUACUGGUUCUGUAGACGUCUUAGUCAACUCAGGUUGAUCUUUCACCUUCUCAGCAUCAAACACGUUCUGAUCUCCAACUAUCACUUCAGGUAUUGCACUGACUUGGAAUGUCUGACCAUCUAUGGUUGGAUCCUUCAGCUUCUCCAUCUUGAAAGUCAUGAUGGUAUCUCCCAAGUAGAGAUCAAGGUUACCAUGCUUGACAUCAAUUACCUUUCCAGCUGUAGCUAAAAACGAUCUUCCCAAGAUAAGAGGAUCUUUGGGUUCCUCUCCAUAUUCCAGAACCACGAAAUCUGUAGGAAUUAUGCAAUCACCAACUUUAAUCGGAACAUCCUCCAAAACACCUUUUGGGAUUCUUUUAGAUCGAUCUGCUAGGAUCAAAGAGAUCUUAGUUGGCUUGAAGUCAGUCAUCCCAAGGUUAACAGCUACAGAGUAUGGCAUGAGGUUGACACUCGAACCAAGAUCACACAGCGAUCUCUUGAACUUCUCCAAGAAGAUAGAGCAGUCCAAAACAAAGCUUCCUGGGUCCGAGAGUUUCUCUGGAAUCUUAUUCUGAAUCACAACACUGACUUAUUCAGAAAUCAUCAUCACUCCUUCCUCAUGACUCAGAUUAUUAGUCACCAUCCUCUUCAUAUAGUGUUUGAGAGUAGGAGCAAUCUUCACAGUAUCAACCAAAGGAAUCUCAAUCACAAGCUUCUCCAUCAAAGCCUUGCAUCUGACAUCAUCUAUCUCCUGCUUGGACUUCCUAGGACUCCUUGGGUAAAGAACCUUAGGUUUGUAAACUUUUUCCUCAGCAGAUUUCGGACUUUGAGGAAUAUCAGCUUCGCUCUGCAAUUGGUGACGCGCGACACUGGUUGUGGUGUCGCUCGACACCGGCUCUGCAACUUCGAAAUUUUCUUCAGAUUCGUCCAACUCCACGAUUUCAUCCUCAGAAACACCAUUUUUCAGCACAAGAGUCAACUUUUUACCACUUUUUACCACUUCUUAACGAGAUGGCACUGACGUAAUGCCUAGGAUUGGUAUCAGUCUUCCCAGGAAGGAAUCCUUCUUGCCUUUUUACAGACUCUGCAGUCUGAGCAACCUGAGUAUCAAGCUUCUUGACAUGAGUGUUCAGAACUUCAAUUUUUCCAUUCAGAUCCAGAUACAUAGCAUCAAUCUUCCCAUUGAAAUCCACAGUCAUCUUCUAGUGACCUUCCAAGAUCUGUUCCAGCAUAGACUUCACCUCAUUAUCUAGAGUUUGAGGAGGAGGAGAGAACCAUAAUUCCUUAAAAAACUAUUGUUGGAGUAGGAUGUCUGGUACUAAACAGGUCUAGAGUUGCAACCAAAAGAGUUCUGAUUACCUGUGAAGGUACUCCUCUGAUUAUUUCCAUUGUAAUUCAUGUUUCUUUGCUGAGUACCAAAUCUCUGACCUUGAAAUCCAGCUCCAUUGAUGAAGUUAACAUCCUCUUCCUCAAGUUCGAAACUCUCAACAUCUGCAGGAAAUCUGACAGACUUCUUACCCACAAGAAGGCUAUGCACAGAGUCUAGCUUAGCCUUCACCUCAGCAAUCUGCGAUCCAUCUAUGUUCCCAACCUGCUUCCUUCGCUGAUAGUCUGCAUUCUUGGUACUAUUGCUAGAUGCCAAGUUCUCAAUAAGCACAACAACAUCUUCAGGGUAUCUGGUGUUGAAGUUCCCAUUGCUUGCAGCAUCAAGAGCCAUCUGAUAUCUCCAAUCAACAUCUCUGAAAAAAUACCCAGCAGCUGAACAUCACUGAAAUCAUGAUGUGGACAAUCUCGCUGGUACGACUUGAAUCUCACCCAAGCAGCUUUGAAUGCUUCAGUUGGUCAUUGAGAAAACGUUGAGAUUUUGAGUCUCAGUUCCUCAGACCUGGCAUCAUCAUAGAAAUUUUGCAGAAAAGCGUUCCUGGUCUCUUCCCAAGUAGUUAGUGAUCCUGACUCCAACUGCUUCAGCCAGUUAGCUGCUUUUCCAGCAAGAGAGUAAGGAAACAGCUUGCAGAAAAGAUAAUCAUUGGACACUCCAUUGUAUUUGAUGCUGGUGACCAAGUCCUCAAACCUCUCGAUGUGAUCCAUAGGGUGCUCAUGAGAAUGACCAUGAAAAGGAUGCUGUCCCACAAGAGUGUAGUACACAGGCUUCAACUCAAAAUCAUUCCUUUGAAACGCAGGAGCGCGAAUCGCGGAUCGAUUUGCAUAGAACUGCUCAGGCCUGUUGUAAUCUCCAAUCGUUCUUCCACGACCAGCUGCAGGUGCAGGUUCCCUCACGUUCUGUUCUUCUGGAGCAUUCCUCUGAUUUGGAAUGAUCACAGCAUUACCACGCGGUGCAGGUGGUGGGUACUGGUUAACAACAUUCACCGGUAAAGGUGCUGGUGGAAUGAUGUUACCAUCUCCAUCAAGUCUUUGGCCUCUCUCAUUGCACACAUGACCAUCUUGGUCUCUCCAGAUACCAGCAUCAUCACACACAAGUCUGUUUGCGUUCUCCAUCUCUGCCGGUUGCUGAGACAAAGAGAAAGAACAAAUGAAGUAACAAAGUAAAAAUAAAAUUAAGAAAAACGAUGGGUGUCGCGCGACACCAGUGCUGGUGUCGCUCGACACUAAGAAAAACUUAGUCGAAACUCAAGAACUAAAGUCUAAUGGCGAAAAUUAAGUCCCCGGCAACAGCGCCAAAACUUGAUCUGCUAAAAGUUUAAUCCCUAAAGCUACUCUGCAAGAGCACAGAUGUGCAGUUGUAGUAUUGAAGGGGUCGAACCACAGAGACGAGAGAUUCGUACAAUAAACUAUCUAGGCUUGAACUACGCUAAGCAAACACAAUGAAAUUAAAAGCAACAAUGAAAGCAAAAAGGUUGUAAACUCUAUGGAAAAGAAUUAGGCUCAGGGUGUUUCUCAGGAAAUCAGAGAAUGCAGAUUAAUCGAUAAAUCAGGGUUCAGGGUUAAGCACGGUUCUUGAACUCAAAUCACGAAAUUAUAACUAACCAAUUUCCGUUGCGAGAAUUAUCGAAGUCUAAAUCUCAGAAUUCUAAAUUCUUUUGCCAAUCCUAAAGACAUAAACCAGCUUUAAUGCUCAAAUUUGAUAUGUUCACAAAGUAUCUAAACCAAAUUCCUUUGCGAAUAGCUACUUUGCUCACCCUAGGUUCUUUCCAGUUAUUCAAUUACACUUCCAUGUCAAUCAAUUAACCUAAGAUCUAAGUUCUAGGUGGCCAGUCCAGAAUUAGCUUUAAGAACAACCUAUGGUGAAGAACAAAAUAGAUUAUGAACCCUAACUAAUCAAUCAAUCCAAGAUCUAAAGAAACCAUUUAUGAGAACCCUAAACCUAAUAGGCAAACUACUCAGACAUAGAGAUUAAAGCAAUAAACAUGAAUGAAUAGAAUGCAGAAAGCAGUAAAUAGAUUAAUAUACAGGGGUUCGAAAUCUUCUCUCUUCGGAACAGAGUUUCAGACUUGUCUCCCCAAAAGCUCUCAAAAACAAAAGUUCUCUCUAAGAAAAUCUAAGGUCUCGAUAUAAGAUGGCUAAAAACCCUAUUAAAUACUAAAAAUCACGUGUUGGGCUUCCUUGUAAUUAUUGGAGACUUUUGGGUCCAACUCCUUCUUCAAACAAGAAACAAAAUCACGUUUUCCUUAUUUCUGCAACAAGUGUCGAGCGUCACUCUCCAAGGUGUCGAGCGACACCAUUGCACAUGAUUUGUCCUUCGCGAAUUUGAUUCUGGUUUAGCUCCAAAGUGCUCCAAAGUCUCAAGUUAAGCUCCAAACGUACCUAUGACCUGUAAAAACUCCAAAAGACUCGAAAAACACUAGAAAUACUCUAUAAAUAAGACCUAUACCAUGGUUUAAAACCAUAAAAACCAUGAUAUAUCAACUCCCCCAGACUUAGCAUUUGCUUGCCCUCAAGCAAACAGAACACCAAAUAAGAGAAAGAGGUUUGAAAACACAGAGACUCAACCUUUCACUGGAACAUCGCUUUUGACCGAUCACCCUGCAACUCAACUAGUGCUUCAUCAUUCCAAAUCGAACCACCAUGUACUUCUCCGCAGACAUUCACAGCCUCCCAGAUUAAAUCCAAAAUUCCACAACAUUGUCCAUAAACCCUCAUCGCUGGAUCUCACUGAUGAUUCCAGUGCCAAGAACCUUCUAAACUAUUUCUCGUACUAUACUCAAACAAAUCAGCUAUACACACUUUGGUACUUUUCUCUCCCCCAGACUUAUUCUUUUCGCACACUCAUCAUCUCUUUUUUUUUUAUGGCGUAUACACGAUAAGGUUAAAGCUGCGAGUACGAUAAGGUUAAUACUAAUUAAGUAUUCUUUAAUUAGUUUGUUACAUUUUGGGUUGGUUUUGGUAUAUAAAUUGUUACGCGUUCGAAAUAUGUUUUUAAAACGGCACAUAUAUAAAUUCAAACAAGAUCGUUAAAACCUCAAAAUCUAUAUAUAAAUUUGAGGUUAAAACUGAAUUAUUUUUGAUAAAUUUUAUUACAACAAAUUAAUAUCUAAAUAAAUAUAACUGUUUAAAUAUGAUUUUUAUCAGUAUGAUAACAUUCGCAUGGGUACAAAAUCUAGUUACUAUAAAUAGAAGAAACAAAACAACUUAGCAUUAUUUCAAAUAAAUGUAGUUAAUCAUGAGUUUCUUACUGAAUUUAAUUAAGAUGGGUGAUAAACGAAAAUCAUGAUGGGUGAUAAACGCAAUUCAGAGAAGUUUGAGUUAUUAGGACCUGAAGAGCAUCUCUAAAGAUAAUCUAAUUCUCGUUUUAGAUAUUAGUUUAGAGAAAAAUCUCCUCAAAUAUUACUCUAUUCCAACUCUAAGAAAUGCAUAUUAGGUCAAUUAUUUGGAUAUAUAGGAAGAUUUUAAAGAGUUUAAGGUCUAAAGAAUUUUAAACAAAGUUUACAGAAAAAUUGUUAAGAAUGAAUGACGGUAAUCUAUUUUAAGAAUAAGAGUAGUAUUAUUCUAAAUAUUGAGUAAAAUAUUCAUCAUAAUAUUUUGGAAUUAUUAGAUUUUGUUAACAAAUUCGUAAUCUUAACAUACAUUUUUAAUUUUUUCUAACAUAUUUCAUUUAUGACAAAAAAAAAUAGAGUGAAAGUUCUUUUGGUUGGUUGACCAAGAGUUCAUUCAUGUUUUCACACGAGAAGAUAUAGAGUUUGAUUUCUGGAGAUGCAAAUUAAAAAAAAAGGGUAAAUUUAAGAGAUUUUCAAUGCCGUGCAAGAAAAACUAUUCAUCGUGGUUAGUGUGCAGACAGAACACCGUGGAUUUUGUAGGUCAGAAUUGUCUGCAUGAUUUACAAAAAGUGAAAAUUAGUAUGUAUGAAAAGCUUAAAAUAUCUUCAGUUUUAUAUUGAGAGAGUAAUAAUAUCCAAGUACCAUUCCAAAAAAUAUUGGAAAGUAUAACAUCCGCUCAAAACUUAUCAUCUUUGAGACCGUUAAGUCUUCAUUCGUGAUUGGCUUUGUCCAUUAAAAUUUAUUUCUGUUUACCCCUACAGCUGUUUGCUAAUAGUAAAGGUAAAAUAACUAACAUAAAGCAUAGAGAACACUUUCCUUUACUUAAUCUCAUAAUUCUCAAAAAUGUCACCAAUUGUACAUGUCUUAACAAACAACACAAUUAAUCUCCUUCCUUAUGCAAUUCUCAUUCUCACAGCAAUCUUUUCGAUUCUCUGGUACCUCAAUAAACGCGGACCGCAACCGCCUCUGCCGCCUGGACCGCGAGGGCUACCUAUUGUCGGAAACCUCCUGUUUCUUGACCCUGACCUUCACAACUAUUUCACAAACAUCGCUCAGAAAUACGGUCCAAUCUUCAAACUCAAUCUCGGCUCAAAGCUAACCGUCGUGGUCAACUCUCCAUCGCUGGCUCGAGAGAUCUUGAAAGACCAAGACAUCAACUUCUCAAACCGAGA